CGAGGUGAGUAAUGUCUGGGAAACUGCCCGAUGGAGGGGGAUAACUACUGGAAACGGUAGCUAAUACCGCAUAACGUCGCAAGACCAAAGAGGGGGACCUUCGGGCCUCUUGCCAUCGGAUGUGCCCAGAUGGGAUUAGCUAGUAGGUGGGGUAACGGCUCACCUAGGCGACGAUCCCUAGCUGGUCUGAGAGGAUGACCAGCCACACUGGAACUGAGACACGGUCCAG
rnacentral:rRNA from 1 species